rnacentral:rRNA from 1 species
UACUGAGUGGCAGACGGGUGAGUAACAUGUGGGAAUCUGCCUUGUGGUUCAGGACAACAUUGGGAAACCGAUGCUAAUACUGGAUAAGCCCUUACGGGGAAAGUUUUAAUGCCAUAAGAUGAGCCCGCAUUUGAUUAGUUAGUUGGUGAGGUAAUGGCUCACCAAGACAAUGAUCAAUAGCUGAUCUGAGAAGAUGAUCAGCCACACUGGGACUGAGACACGGCCCAGACUCCUACGGGAGGCAGCAGUGGGGAAUCUUGCACAAUGGAGGAAACUCUGAUGCAGCGAUGCCGCGUGAGUGAAGAAGGCCUUUGGGUUGUAAAGCUCUUUUGUAGGGGAAGAUAAUGACUGUACCCUAAGAAUAAGGUCCGGCUAACUUCGUGCCAGCAGCCGCGGUAAUACGAAGGGACCUAGCGUAGUUCGGAAUUACUGGGCGUAAAGCGCGCGUAGGCCGUUGAGUUAGUUAAUUGUGAAAUCCCAAAGCUUAACUUUGGAACUG